rnacentral:rRNA from 1 species
GACGAACGCUGGCGGCGUGCUUAACACAUGCAAGUCGAGCGGUAAGGCCCUUUCGGGGGUACGACGAGCGGCGAACGGGUAGGAGUAACAACGUGGGUGGACCUCGCCCUCCAGCUCUGGGAGUAAAGACCUCGGGAAACCGGGGUACCGUAAUAACUGGAUAUGACUCCAUGACGCAUGUUGUGGGGUGGGAAAGACCUU